GUAGGGGGCAAGCGUUGUCCGGAUUUAUUGGGCGUAAAGAGCGUGUAGGCGGCUUCACAAGUCCGCUGUGAAAACUCGAGGCUCAACCUCGAGCUGUCGGUGGAAACUGUGAGGCUAGAGUCCGGAAGAGGAGAGUGGAAUUCCCGGUGUAGCGGUGAAAUGCGCAGAUAUCGGGAAGAACACCCGUGGCGAAGGCGGCUCUCUGGGACGGUACUGACGCUGAGACGCGAAAGCGUGGGGAGCGAACAGGAUUAGAUACCCUGGUAGUCCACGCCGUAAACGAUGGGUGCUAGGUGUGGGGGGUGUCGACUCCCUCCGUGCCGAAGCUAACGCAUUAAGCACCCCGCCUGGGGAGUACGGCCGCAAGGSKA
rnacentral:rRNA from 1 species